CCUUGCCAGCCCGCUCAGAAACGUUAAAUGAAUUGACGGGGGCCCGCACAAGCGGAGGAACAUGUGGUUUAAUUCGAUGAUACGCGAGGAACCUUACCUGGGCUAGAACGCAUUCGGAAUCAGGCCGAAAGGCCUGCGCCAGCGAUGGCCGCUUGCGAGGUGCUGCAUGGUUGUCGUCAGCUCGUGCCGUGAGGUGUCGGGUUAAGUCCCAUAACGAGCGCAACCCCUACUGCUAGUUGCCAGCGGGUCAUGCCGGGGACUCUAGCGGAACUGCCAGCGUAAGCUGCGAGGAAGGUGGGGAUGACGUCAAAUCAGCACGGCCCUUACGUCCAGGGCUACACACGUGUUACAAUGGCCGGUACAGAGGGCAGCCACCCCGCGAGGGGGCGCGAAUCCCGAAAGCCGGUCCCAGUUCGGAUCGGAGUCUGCAACCCGACUCCGUGAAGCUGGAUUCGCUAGUAAUCGCGCAUCAGCCAUGGCGCGGUGAAUACGUUCCCGGGCCUU
rnacentral:rRNA from 1 species